rnacentral:rRNA from 1 species
GGCAGAGGGUGCAAACGUUGUUCGGAAUUACUGGGCGUAAAGCGCGUGUAGGCGGCCAUCUAAGUCGGGCGUGAAAUCCCACGGCUCAACCGUGGAAGUGCACUCGAAACUGGAUGGCUAGAGUCCUGGAGAGGAAGGUGGAAUGCUUGGUGUAGAGGUGAAAUUCGUAGAUAUCAAGCGGAACACCGGUGGCGAAGGCGGCUCACUGGCCCGGUACUGACGCUGAGGAGCGAAAGCGUGGGGAGCGAACAGG